UCAACGGCCCUUUUCAGGGCCACUAAUUUGUAUCACUUUUCUGUUGU
rfam:Rhodnius prolixus Rhodnius_prolixus-3.0.3-3.14, whole genome shotgun sequence.